rnacentral:rRNA from 1 species
UACGUAGGGCGCACGCGUUAUCCGGAAUUAUUGGGCGUAAAGAGCUCGUAGGCGGUUUGUCGCGUCUGCCGUGAAAGUCCGGGGCUCAACUCCGGAUCUGCGGUGGGUACGGGCAGACUAGAGUGAUGUAGGGGAGACUGGAAUUCCUGGUGUAGCGGUGAAAUGCGCAGAUAUCAGGAGGAACACCGAUGGCGAAGGCAGGUCUCUGGGCAUUAACUGACGCUGAGGAGCGAAAGCAUGGGGAGCGAACAGG